UACGAAGGGGGCUAGCGUUGCUCGGAUUGACUGGGCGUAAAGGGCGCGUAGGCGGUUCGUACAGUCAGACGUGUAAUUCCUGGGCUCAACCUGCGGGCUGCGUUUGAUACGUGCGGACUUGAGUGCGGAAGAGGGUCGUGGAAUUCCCAGUGUAGAGGUGAAAUUCGUAGAUAUUGGGAAGAACACCGGUGGCGAAGGCGGCGACCUGGUCCGAUACUGACGCUGAGGCGCGAAAGCGUGGGGAGCAAACAGG
rnacentral:rRNA from 1 species